UUUAUUAUUAUUAUUAUUCUGAUUUGUUUUAGCAGAACAUAUUCAAAGUAGGAAAAUACCCCACCAUCCCUUUAAUUUAAUCCCAAUACCAAAAAUCAUUGCUUUAGUCAUUGUCGUCUCAAAACCUUAUAAUUGUUCUUGUUUUGUAAUUUACUUAUAUUCUCACUGAUUUCCAUAUCUCAUUUAUCAUUUGUUUUCAGCCUAAUCUAAUCAUAUCAUCAACUUGGAAAAAGGUCCUUAUGAACUGAACAAACCACAACGGACGGGCGGCCCAGGUUUGAAGGUUGACUGCAGAAAAACCGAAGCUUAGUUUGAAAAUCUGAUGCCGUAUACACAUUGACUAUGUUAUUUUUGUCAGAAGAAGAAGAAGAAAUAAAAGGUGAACGAACAACAAAUGCAAUAGGGACCUCACCGGCUUUAUCAUCAGGAUAUCUGCAGGUGGAAAUUCAUGGCAGAGGUUAACAAGA